AAAAAAGAAUAGAUAUACCUUGUAUAAAUUCAAGAAUACGGCUUGAAAGUUUCUACCAGCUACCAAUAAAUAGCUUGUCUACAAGGAAUGGGAAAU
rnacentral:ncRNA from 1 species